rnacentral:lncRNA from 1 species
GGGCUAUAAGGAUCUCUUCAUCCUGAGGACGGCAGCACGGGCCAGUGAACGCAGCAUUACCCAGGUGCGAUGAAUUCACCAGGAAGGAGAGUUGCUAAGGUGCCAGCAUUGCAUCCCCAGCAUGCCAGUCUGCAUUGCUCCGGAACGCUGGAAAACAAGGUUCUACCUAGCAGCUCUCUAUGGAAAGAGGCACACGCAAAAAUUAUGCAAGGACAGGAAAAUUAAUGAAUAACAAGAAAAU